rnacentral:rRNA from 1 species
AACGAACGCUGGCGGCAUGCCUAACACAUGCAAGUCGAACGAGACCUUCGGGCCUAGUGGCGCACGGGUGCGUAACGCGUGGGAACCUGCCCUUAGGUUCGGAAUAACUCCCUGUAAGGGGUGCUAAUACCGGUUAAUCUCUUCGGACCAAAGAUUUCUCGCUUUUGGAUGGGCCCGCGUUGGUUUAGCUGGUUGGUAGGGUAAACGCCUACCAAGGCCAGGAUACAUAGCUGGUCUGUGAGGAUGACCAGCCACACUGGGACUGACGCCCGGCCCAGAUACCGACGGCAGGAGGCAGUAGGGAAGAUUGGAGAGUGGGAGAAAGACUGAUCCAGCAAUGGCGCGUGAGUGAUGAAGGCCGUAGGGAUGUAAAGCUCUUUUGCCCGGGAUGAUAAUGACAGUAACGGGAGAAUAAGCUACGGCUAACUCCGUG